CCACUACCAUGUAAUUCAAUUGUGCUUCCUUCAAAAUUAUGGAAUUUCGUUUGGAAGUGACCGUGUUUGCACAAGUUUCCUCGUUCUUCUGGGACCCGUCAGAAAACUAAGAUGAUGAUUCAGAAAGUGGAAGUCUUACGUUAAGUCCAGAUAAAAAAAGAUGUGAAUGAUCCACACCAAUCUACAGAGCAGACAACAAACACUAAGGUUUUACAGUCAUAUCCCGAGAGCUAUACAAGAAAUUGGUCUACUCUUGUUAUAUCUGGAAAAGUGUUAUUUCAAUGGAUAUUGAUUGCACAACAUCCUUCUGAUAGGACCAACUAAAUUCCUGACAGAAGAAUCAGACAAGGAGGCAGUCCUGACAGAAGAACUGGAGGAAAAGAUGACUGACAGAAGAACUGCAGCGGAGGCACAGAACAUUCCGGAAGAUACGUAACCUGGCUGUAAUUUCGAGUGACUAAAUUCUAUUUUUUGUUGUAUGCGUGGAAUUUGUAUUUAUUGGAACAUUAGAAUCUUGUUUUAUUUGAGAAUAGUUAGUAUUUAG